UAUUGGUGAUGAGGACAUUGACUGAGCAACAGCUUAAAUCAUUCCCAAGUUUCGUGAAUGGCUUCUCCCUCCAUUUGAGAAAAUAUGCAGAAUUUUUUUUUGCAAAUCA